rnacentral:tRNA from 1 species
GGGCCCGUGGUGCAGCCUGGUUUAGCACGUCAGAUUGUCGAUCUGAAGAUCGAGGGUUCAAAUCCCUUCGGGCCCGCCA